rnacentral:lncRNA from 1 species
CAUCAAUAUGCUUCUGGUGGCAGCAGAGACUAUGGGAAUGUCCUUUGGUGGUGACGUGGGCCACAGACAGCAGGACAGCCGCCAGCUGCAGUAGGACCACACCCUGUCCCACUUUAACUAUACACUCCUUUCCCCUGUCCUUACAGGUAUCGAUUUCAUGACUAUGCCCCACCGCACCCCGGGAAAAGUGGUAAUGAAUGACAUCUAAAAGCAACCUUGAAGAGUCCUACCAGGAACCCUCAAGAUACUAGGAUGUGGUGUUUUGAAUAUGAAUGUCCCUCAUGGGCUCAUGUGUUUGAAUGCUAAGUAACUGUGGAUGGACUUUGAGGUUUCAAAAGCCCACGCUAUGUCCAAAUUCUGUCUGCCUGUGGAUCAGGCAGCUCUCGGCUUCUCCUCCAGCACCAUGUCCGCCUGCAUACUGCCACCCUCCCUGUCAUGACGAUGAGAAUGGACUAACCCUUGAAACUGUAAGCAGAUUCCCGACUAAAUGCUUUCUUUCAUAACAGCUGCCUUGGUCAUGGUGUCUCUUCACAGCCAUAGAACACUGGCUAAGACACAGGAGGAAGUUACCCAUGUUAAAUGCAUUUCCCUUUAUAUGACCCGUUUUUUGUUUUUUUUUUUUUUUUCAAAAAUGCAAUCACCACAGAGCCACGAUACAUGACAUGGAAGCACUCUGGGAAGUAAAGGAACACAACAGAGAUGGAUACGUUCUGUUUUGAACUCAGAAAGGCCCACUCUACUCAGUGUGAGUUAACCAGAAGACAAAUGGGCUUCAUGUUGAUAAUUAGGACAAUGAUUGGCAUUCUGAGACAUGGGCUUCCGGCAAGCUCUAUUUUGGUUCUUACCUGAGGUCAGCCAGGUGGGUGACAUCACAGUUCCCAUUCUCUGUUUUGGAAAACUGACUUGCAAAGAAGUGUGUAGUGUUCACAGCUGCACAGACUUCCAUUGUCAAGUUAACAUAUGGAGAUCUCUUUUUUGGACUUCUAUAAGACUGCCUGCUGCUUGAGUCUGAAUUAUGAAAAUAUACGGAAGUGGUACCCUAAGGUUAGAAUACAUAAGGGGUCCUGGAGACUGUUGGGGGCUACCUCUACAGCCUGGUUCUGUUGGUCUGGUGUGGGACAACGUGCUGUCUGUGAGCCUGCGCCUGCUGGUCUAGAAAUCUCCUUUGAGAACGGCUGCUGUGAACAUCUGGAACAUCCAUCAGAGGGUCUGUAACAUAAAUCACCUUUCUCAAGACUGUGAACCUUUGAGCCUUAUUUUAGGAGCACAUUGGAAAGAAUCCUGGGAAGGCAGCUGUUCAAAUAUUUCAGAAUACACACACACACACACACACACACACACACACACACACACACACACACACGAGCUAAUCAACUUGCUUUGCCAUUACAAAGACUAAAAGGCUUUGUGUGUGUGUGUGUGUGUGUGUGUGUGUGUGUGUGUGUGCAAGUGUAGGUGUGUGUCCCAGAAUGUGGAGGUCAGAGGACAACCUUGGGCAUAAGCCUUUAUCUUCUACUGUGUUUGAGACAGAUCUGUUGUACAUACCCUAUCUAUCUAUCUAUCUAUCUAUCUAUCUAUCUAUCUAUCUAUAUCUGGCUUGUGAAUUCCCAGGGAAGUUCUCUGUCUGGCUCUCCCUCCCAUUUUGACAUAGGAACACUAGGGUACAAACACUGUUACCAUGCCCAGCUUAUAUAGGUCCUAGGGAUCUGAAUUCGGGUCCUCAGGCUGCUGACAAGCACUUUAUCCAUGGAGACAGGUCCCAGACCUCCAAAGAUGUGUUCUAAUGACUUAAUUCCUAUUGGAAAUGACUUGUUGCCCUUUUUUGAGAGACUGGAUCAGACAAUAAGUCAAUGAAGUCAAUUUUGCUCGACAAUUUUCAUAUUUCUUUACUAUCCCUCUGAGUAGAAGAGGAAGUAAAAAAGACACAGGGGGAAACCCCAGUUAUAACAGUGAUGGACCUGGAAACUAAACAUAAAGCAAAUCUGAAAAUCUCUUUGUUGGUGAAAUAAUCUAUCAUCACACAACAGCGGGUUAACCUCUUAUUCGUAAAUAGUCUAGGAAACCUGAAGGAAGAAAAUUGAGAUGAAAAAAUAAGUCCCAACUUUAAAUCAUAAAUACUUUCCUUUCUCCAAACCAGCUCACAGCAGGGGGAACCAAGAAGCCAGACCAAGGACAUCACCAUCUUGGAAAAUGGAUGGAGCUGUUACAUCUGGGCAUGUGGUCCAGCUGAGGGUGAGGACAUGAUUCUUAGUGUUGUUCUGGUCAGACUGCCUAAGGAGUGUCUUGUCCAAUUAGCUUUAAAACUGUUACUUUAAAUUGCCACCUUCUGUUGAUCUCAGGACUGCUGUGGGGAAGUGGAGGUUGAAGCUGCAUAUUGUAAACACAGCAGUGGCAGCUGUGACAGCAAGGUAUGGAAAAACCUCAGUGCUAAUGAGCCUUAUAUUUUUCUUGGGCAGGGACCUGGUGUUAGAGACCUCAAGCCAACAACAGAGAGAGAACAUAUCCAGCCCCCACCUCCUGCUGCCUGGGGUUAGGCAGCAGCUUGACUACUGUCCCACUGCAUGGGUCACACACUUCCCUAUCCAGACAAAGAAUGACCCUCGUCAAAUAGCCUAAGUCAUGUAUGUCUUUCUCUCCCCUGCCUCUGUCAUAGGUCACAUAUUAGCCAAGUCUGCUUUGUCACGAUGCAAACCUCCCACCCCUUGAAAACUAUUGAAAAUGGACACCUUGCUUUGUCUAGUGAGGCUGGAACGAUCCCUCAGACCUAUGUUAUACCAAUUACAUAAUAAAUCUCUUGCUUGAAGGACUUGCUCUCUGUGU